AGGGAAUCUUCCGCAAUGGACGAAAGUCUGACGGAGCAAUGCCGCGUGAGUGAAGAAGGUUUUCGGAUCGUAAAACUCUGUUGUUAGAGAAGAACAAGGAUGAGAGUAACUGCUCAUCCCCUGACGGUAUCUAACCAGAAAGCCACGGCUAACUACGUGCCAGCAGCCGCGGUAAUACGUAGGUGGCAAGCGUUGUCCGGAUUUAUUGGGCGUAAAGCGAGCGCAGGCGGUUCUUUAAGUCUGAUGUGAAAGCCCCCGGCUCAACCGGGGAGGGUCAUUGGAAACUGGAGAACUUGAGUGCAGAAGAGGAGAGUGGAAUUCCACGUGUAGCGGUGAAAUGCGUAGAUAUGUGGAGGAACACCAGUGGCGAAGGCGACUCUCUGGUCUGUAACUGACGCUGAGGCUCGAAAGCGUGGGGAGCAAAC
rnacentral:rRNA from 1 species